rnacentral:rRNA from 1 species
AUGAUGAGUUAUUCCAACUUGCCAUUGGAAUUAUGGAUGGAGGUUCUUAAAACCGCCAUUCAAAUUUUCAAUAGAGUACCAAGCAAGUCGGUGCCCAAAACACCGUACAAGCUAUGGACAGGAAGGGUGUCCUCCCUACAACACUUCAGGGUGUGGGGGUGCCCUGCUGAGGCCAAAAUGUUUAAUCCAAACAUUGCAAAGUUAGAUCCCAAAACAGUGAGUUUCCACUUCAUUGGCUAUCCAGACAGAUCAAAGGGUUUUCGUUUCUACUGUCCAGACAGAUAUACAAAGUUUGUAGAAACGAGUCAUGCAGUCUUCUUAGAGGACGAAAUGAUGAGGGGGAGCUUGGUAGCUCGGAAAAUUGAUCUUGAGGAGAAGAGGGUAUAUGCACCUAAUCCGAUGAUUCAGGGGCCAUUUUUCUCACUACCAGUUGCAACUCCACCCAUGACAACUAUGGGGGUAGACCCGGAACCUGUCCGUCACGAGCCGACUGAACCCGUUGUUGAGCAUGAAAGGGAGGUGCAACAACAAAUUUUAGAAGAAGUGCCAGAAGUUGAGGCACAGGAUGUGCCAGAAACUGAGGCCCUUAGAAGGUCUACAAGACACAAAAAGUCAGCUAUUUCUACUGAUUAUAAAGUUUAUAACAUGGAAAUAGUUCAUACAGAAAAAGAUCCAACCUCAUAUGAAGAAGCCAUGAGAAGCCCUCAUUUAUCGAAUAGGAUGAAGGCAAUGGAAGACAAGAUGAAAUCGAUGAGUUCCAAAGAUGUUUGGGACUUAGAGAAAAUUCCUAAAGAAGCCAAAACUAUAUAUUGCAAAUGGGUCUACAAAAUUAAGUAUGACUCUAAAGGGAAUGUAGAAAAGUAUAAAGCACGACUCGUGGCAAAA